rnacentral:rRNA from 1 species
AGGCUGCAACUCGCCUACAUGAAGUCGGAGUCGCUAGUAAUCGCGGAUCAGCAUGCCGCGGUGAAUACGUUCCCGGGCCUUGUACACACCGCCCGUCACACCAUGAGAGUUUGUAACACCCAAAGCCGGUGGGGUAACCUUUUGGAGCCAGCCGUCUAAGGUGGGACAGAUGAUUGGGGUGAAGUCGUAACAAGGUAAC